GGUUGCUCGGGAGCUUGCUCCCGGGUCCAACUCUACCGGCGGACGGGUGAGUAACACGUGGGCAACCUACCCCGAAGACGGGGAUAACCUCGGGAAACCGGGGCUAAUACCCGAUACCCUGUGCGGGUCGCAUGGCCUGCAGAGGAAAGGGUUCCGAAAGGUUCUGCUUCGGGACGGGCCCGCGGCGUAUCAGCUAGUUGGUGGGGUAACGGCCCACCAAGGCGAUGACGCGUAGCUGGCCUGAGAGGGUGGUCAGCCACACUGGGACUGAGACACGGCCCAGACUCCUACGGGAGGCAGCAGUUGGGAAUCUUGGGCAAUGGGCGAAAGCCUGACCCAGCGACGCCGCGUGCGGGGUGAAGGCCUUCGGGUCGUAAACCGCUGUCAGGGGGGAAGAAGCCGGCUUGCCGGUGACGGUACCCUCAGAGGAAGCCCCGGCUAACUACGUGCCAGCAGCCGCGGUAAGACGUAGGGGGCGAGCGUUGUCCGGAUUUACUGGGCGUAAAGCGCGUGCAGGCGGCCCGUUAAGUCCCGUGUGAAAGCCUUCGUCUCAACCGAAGGAGGCCGCCGGAGAUCCCAGGGCUUGAGGGCAGUAGAGGUUGGUGGAAUUCCUCAGUUAACGGUGAAAUGACCACCCUCUCAGGCCAGGCCAGCGUCAUAGCCUUGGUGGGCCGUUACCCCACCAACUAGCUGAUACGCCGCGGGCCCGUCCCGAAGCAGAACCUUUCGGAACCCUUUCCUCUGCAGGCCAUGCGACCCGCACAGGGUAUCGGGUAUUAGCCCCGGUUUCCCGAGGUUAUCCCCGUCUUCGGGGUAGGUUGCCCACGUGUUACUCACCCGUUCGCCGGUAGAGUUGGACCCGGGAGCAAGCUCCCGAGCAACCCUCCCUCG
rnacentral:rRNA from 1 species